GAGUUUGAUCCUGGCUCAGGACGAACGCUGGCGGCGCGCCUAACACAUGCAAGUCGAGCGAGAACCAGACCUUCGGGUCUGGGGACAGCGGCGAACGGGUGAGUAACACGUGAGUAAUCAACCCUCGGCACCGGGAUAGCCCGGGGAAACCCGGAUUAAUACCGGAUGGCCCAUCCGCGCUUCGGGGCGGCUGGAAAAGGUAGCUUCGGCCUCCGGCCGAGGACGAGCUCGCGGCCGAUUAGCUUGUUGGUGGGGUAACGGCCCACCAAGGCUCCGAUCGGUAGCUGGUCUGAGAGGACGAUCAGCCACACUGGGACUGAGACACGGCCCAGACUCCUACGGGAGGCAGCAGUGGGGAAUCUUGCGCAAUAGGGGAAACCCUGACGCAGCGACGCCGCGUGCGGGAAGAAGGCCUUCGGGUUGUAUACCGCUUUCAGGAGGGACGAAGCCACUCGGGUGAACAGCCCAGAGGGUGACGGUACCUCCAGAAGAAGCCCCGGCUAACUACGUGCCAGCAGCCGCGGUAAUACGUAGGGGGCAAGCGUUAUCCGGAUUUAUUGGGCGUAAAGAGCGUGUAGGCGGCCAGGCAGGUCCGUUGUGAAAACUCGAGGCUCAACCUCGAGACGUCGAUGGAAACCGUCUGGCUAGAGUCCGGAAGAGGAGAGUGGAAUUCCUGGUGUAGCGGUGAAAUGCGCAGAUAUCAGGAAGACACCUAUGGCGAAGGCAGCUCUCUGGGACGGUACUGACGCUGAGACGCGAAAGCGUGGGGAGCGAACAGGAUUAGAUACCCUGGUAGUCACGCCGUAAACGAUGAGUGCUAGGUGUGGGGGGUGUCGACUC
rnacentral:rRNA from 1 species